UUUGCUUCCUGCUGUACAGACUGCUGCCACACUGGCUGGCUAGGUCGCUCUGAGAGAGAGAAAUGAGAGACACUAAAAUAAGAUAAGCUUCCAAUGCAAGGCCUUAUCUUCCCAUUUCAAACUCGCACUAGAUUGGGGAGAAUGCAAUUGCUUCAACAUAAAAGCUAAAAGGUCUGGGCCUCUUACUCCAUUGGGGUCUACAUCGUUUCUGCUCAGUGUCUCCACAGAGCAGAGAGAGAAGAGAGCAAUUUCCUGUUUGUUCAUGCUUAUAUACUGUUACUGCCUACAUCAUCAUUUCCUGGUUGGAUCAC
rnacentral:lncRNA from 1 species